AAAAAAUGGCGGCCGAACCUGAGAGAUUUGUGUUAUUGGAGUUGGAGCUGAUAAAUACUGAACAACAGUCACUUUUAUUAAAAUUAUUGCGACGCAGGAAAGAGAAGAGACAUCGGAGGAGACGGGGAGUUCGACGGGAGGGUGCUCUGUGGGAGUGGCAUUGGAACAAAACUGAUCUGGUGUUCGCAAAAAAAAUUUAAGGAGCCGAAGAACCAGUUUUUUAACCAGUGGAGCUGAACGAACAAACAAAAAAAAACAAAGGACGUGACACUUGUGAUUUCACUCUGCGAUGAAGGAGGAGAAGCUGAAGUCCAAACUACUACAGAAGGUGGUUUGUCGGUGUGAGGCUGGAGAUGAGGCUGUGUGAAGGGCACGAGGAGGGAGGCGCUGCAGUCGAGCAGAGAGCUGAGUCUGCAGCCUCCAGCUGCUCCACAGGCUUCAGCUGCCACCUGCCUGCAGAUGUGAGUGGUCACAGCAGAGCAGAGUUCCCAGCAGCCGUUUACCCGCUGAUGAAACAGAAUCAGAACCAGGAGCUGAUGGAUUUCGACCUCAACUGGGAGCCUUCAUUCACUAAGCUGGUGUGUGUGAGGACGAGCAGUCAUGGACUCCUUCUGCCAAACUUGUAGAUCACCUCAUGAUGCGUUCAAGAGCAAUGGGUGCUUCAGGAGCAGCUGCUGCGUGGGAAACCUCAGAUUCAAGUAGGAGCUCCGCUUUUCCCUUCGUGUCGUAACUGCUGUUCACGCUCGGCAGGAGAAGUCGUCCUGAAGCUGACGUCAGAAGUUAAAUGUGGGAAAACUUCUGCACUAACUGAGCUUUUACCGUUAAAUUUUAAAUUUCACAUUUCUAUUCAUAUUCUCGUGUGUUGCUGUAUCAUCACUGUAAAAACAGAAAAACUGUCUCCUGUGUCAAAGCUGAGGCGACAGGUUAACUGUGGUUACUUAAAGCCGCUGUGUGCAGACAAACAUCUGGUAAAUCAGAUUUUUAAAAAGAUAGAAAAUACAGGUGGAAGCUGGACUGUGUUUAAAACAACCUCUGUUUGUAUUUGUUAAUGAGUAAUCAGCCCAAUAAUGACGUCGUCCCCAGGUAGCUGGUCUGAACUUUGACCUUCCUGAACCUGAAAACAUCAGGACUGUGGUGAUGUAAAAAAAUCGUCUCGCUCUGGUUCUCUCUGUUCUGGCGUCAGGUGUUUGUUUUGCCAAGAACAACAUGUCUGCAGCACUGAAGUGGAAACUCUUGGUGUUGUUCUUACCUCAGGAGGAAACAGUGAUACUCUAAACCUUUUCCACCACCAUGGAGCUGGUUUUGUUCUGGUUACACCUGAAUUAGAACAGCUCAGAGCGUUUCAACCUAAAUAAACUGGUUUGGAAGCUGAAGAGUCGGUUCUCAGCUGGAACCAGAAAACAUCAGGUUCCCCAGUGUGAAUCCAAACCUGGACAGGCUCUGUUGUCGCAGGACCAGUUUGUUAAUCUGCUGUUUAAUCCUUCAUUAAUGUGAUACCUGUUGUUACCUGGCAGACGUCUCCAUAUAAAACUCUACAAACUGAGAGGAUCAGGAAUCUGUUUCCCCAACAACCAACAACAAACUGUGUCGGCUGAACGUUGGACACGAGGCUUUUAAAUAACUUCACACUGACAUGAAUUUAACUGAUGUUAGACCUGAACGAGUCGGCUCACUGCGUCUUUAAAUAACCUCACCUUCGCUUUCAUCUCCCCUUUGAUUAACUCAAGAUAAACUCAGAACCCGUUAAUGUUAAUGAGCAGUUACAGGUUAACUCUCCGUUUCAGUCCUGUUCCCACUAACAAACCUUAUGUUUUGUUGUUGUUUCUUUUCUAAUACUCCAACACUUGUUUUAAUCACACCUGUUAUUUACCUGUGAGUACUGGUUGUUUUCACCUGGUCCCACCGUUUGGUCUUGUUUUAGAAACAAAGGUGAAUAUUUAAGGUCAAACCAGAGAACACCCAGAGAUCUUUCUGGAGAAUAUUUAAGUCCUGGAAAAGCUUUAUAAUGUUCAGUAAAUCUGAUCUGGUGUCUGUAUUCAUGUGUACAUGUUGUUGGUGGUUCCAGUGGGAUUGAAUCUGUAUCUGUGCAUCACAAUAUCGAUCAGUUUUAAUGACACAGUUUCACUGUGUUUGUUUCUGCUCCUGUGUGAAGCAAUAAAGUUUUUCAGAUCUGAUCUGGAUUUUUUUUUCUGAGUGUUCUCUAAUCUAUAUUUAUAUAAUAUAUAACCCUGUAAGUGUAAAGUAUCACCUGAAGAAACAAACGGGUGUAAUGGCGCCUCCUGCACUGACACUCCGGUCCAGCAGGUGGCGCUGUUACACCCGUGCGCUGUGAACGCAGCAGCAGCUGAGCUGUCACUCGAUAAAAAGAUAAAAACAACAUGUUUCUGACUUCGUGACUCCAGACAGAGCUGAGUAACUUUAACUGGAGUUCUGUCAGUUUGACUUCAUGUUAGUUUGUUGUUUCCUGGGUGUUUUUCUGCUGCCCGUGCUGCGUUCAGGGGCCAGACUGGAGCAGGACUGGAUGUGGACCAGGUGGUCAGAGUGCUGCUGUCGUCCAGCAGGAGGCAGUAUGAGUCCACAGCAGGAUCAGCCUCUGUGGUGUUUCUCCUCCUGGCAUCUGACAACAUCAUGGAGAGGAUUCCUACAGACAGAGCUUUUUAUUAAAGAGGAGGAUCCAGAAACAUCACUUUAUAUCAGUACCAGACUCCAUAGAGAAAAACAGGGAUUUAACCAGGAGCUGCUGGAAUACCACUGCCUCCAUCUGUCAGUGUGUCUGUGUUACUGUGAGACUUUCAGUGGUUGAAGAAGUAAUCAGAUACUUUACUGAAGUAAAAGUACCACGCAGUAACACAAACACACUAACAGAUGGAGGCAGUGGUAUUCCAGCAGCUCCUGGUUAAAUCCCUGUUUUUGUUAAUGGAGUCUGGUAUUGAUAUAUAGACUGCUCCAGUGUCCAGUGUUAUUCCAACUGAUAGAAAUGAUGGACGACACUGUGAGAAAGUGAGACGUGUGUUUUUAGAGCAGAGAGUAAAAUCAUUUUACUGCAAAUCAAAGUGAAAUUAUAAGUGUAUGUGUGAGGAUGAGGUCAGGGAGUGUGUUUGCCAUCACGGGACCUCAUCAACACCUCGCUCACAUGGCGACAAAGACGCACACACACACACACACACACACACACACACACACACUCAGUGUAAAGGUUUCCCUCAGGACACUUAGAGCAGAGGAAGGAGACGGUUUAACGGACGUUUCCAUUCAGACAGUCGUAGAAUAAAGACGCAGCUGCACACACACACUCAGUGUCUGUGUGUGUCAUGACUAAGACAAGAAACACACACACGACACUACAGACUUAAUGCUGCGUCUGCAUAUACUCAGUGUGUGUGUGUGUUUGACUGGUGUCAGUGUUUGAUCCUAACAGGCAGAGAGAGGCACACACAGAUGAAAACACAACACACACACACACACACAGAUGAAAAACAAGGAAGUAUCUUCUACGUGUGUUUAUUGUUUGUGGAUAAUUUUAAAUUGAAACAGCAUGAAGUGAAUAUUCAGGAGACUUUGACCAAUCACAGGUGUUUUCAGAGAGCAAGUGUUCCUAUUGGCUGUUCUAUAACUAACUAAGUAUCAGGCUUGAGUUUUGUAGUUUUAUCUUUGCCUGUCCCAGCUGUAAUAGUGUUAUCACUAAAGAAAGAAGCAGUUAGAUGCUUGUUUGAUCUGAAACUGACAAACUUUGUUCUGUAAAAUGUCAGAAAGUAAACGUGAGCUGAACUGUU